AUGAACUCUAAAGUUCCAUCUCUCCACUAUGAUUAAGCAGGCAAAGACUGCCAGAGUUGACUUUCUCAGAACAAUGGAAUCUAUAACAAAAUUUACAACAUCUAGAUGGAUGCUUAGUGAAAAAAGAAGCCACUAAAUUUUGGUAAGAGAGCAUUCUGGACUUUAAACUGAUACUUCCACUCUUCCUCAUUCCUCUGCUCCAGGGCUUGGAAAUGAAGGAAGGAAGAGGAGGUGUCAGGAAGGCAGCCAAGAGCUGUUCUGGCGAGAUGAGAAGGAAACAGGUUCAGCACAUGUCUGGUGAGUAGCUUCAUCGGAUGGAUUACAGUGCUGGAAGCAGGAGUGCAGGGAGCAACUGACACAGCCAGAACUGUCCCUAGCAAAAUGGAAUGUGAGGUUACUGCAGCUAUGACCAAGUUUGCAUAUGCAAGCAAUGCCAACCACACCAGAACUAUUAUCUCUUGGACACUGUACAGUGUAUUACGUCUAAUUGCAUAAAUGCUAAAAGGUGGAGGGGGAAAUGUACAUCUAGGGUUAAUAAAGGAUGAUACACAACCUGUCAAAGACUCUCUUUUCUUUUGGUGAGGGCUUCAUGCUAUCUACAGGGGUCUGCAUUCUCUCCAAGCUCUUGUCUAUCUCCCCUUUGGUCUGUAAUGAUCACUUUCCAUCUCUGGGAGCCUUGUGUCUCCUGACUUAAUGCAUUGCAGGAUGCUGAGUCCAAGUUAUGAAAAAGCUAUAGCCAUUAGUGCAUUGCAUCCACCCUGUUUAGAUGAUCUCACCCUCAGCUAUCAAUAUUAGAG
ensembl:lncRNA